GUAGUUAGUUUAACUUGAUUAGAAAGGGAAACAGAAACCAUUGGAAGACACUUUACCAACAAGGAAGCGCUGGCUGUACUUUUAAAACAGAAAACAUAUUCUCUGGAGAACAAGCUACAUCUUAAAUUUAAUCUUCCUCCAACACCUCAAAAUACAGGAGGAGAACCAUCCUUCUCUCUUUCCCUUGACUAUAAAGGCUCUUGUCGUCUUGGAAGAAUGUUGAUCUGAAACAAAAAAGGAAAGAGGAGGAUUAGAAAAAGAGACUCUGCAGUGUGUCUGCAGACAUUUGGCCUCCUUUGUGGUUUUUGAGACUCGAAGACUUUUUCAGGCAGGUUUGGCCCUCUUGGGAGAGGGUUU
rnacentral:lncRNA from 1 species